UUGACAACAUUAGAGUCCUCUGUUUCUCCAGAGAUCAGGUGCAGCAUGGGGAGUAAAGUGUAAGCUUCCCCAUAUGACUCGACCCAUAUUCCUGUACCCUGACCUGGAGUGAUCACCUCUAGGAAUGACAGGUGGCAUUGAUCUCCAAGUCCGUUCACUCCAUGGUCUCU
ensembl:misc_RNA